GCUGUCAGUUUGUGGGCUGGUGC
rnacentral:miRNA from 1 species